rnacentral:rRNA from 1 species
ACAGAGGGGGAGUAGCCUUCCGAAAGGAAGAUUAAUACCGCAUAUUAUGAUUUUUUCUUGCAUGGGAAAGUCAUGAAAGGAGCAAUCCGCUGUAAGAUGGGCCCGCGGCGCAUUAGCUAGUUGGUGAGGUAAGGGCUCACCAAGGCGACGAUGCGUAGCCGACCUGAGGGGGUGAUCGGCCACAUUGGGACUGAGACACGGCCCAGACUCCUACGGGAGGCAGCAUG